GGAGCUGUCGGUCCCUGCGCCGCCGGAGCGGGGCGGCGGGCGGCUGUGGCCGCAGCGUGGGGACGGGAGGAGGAACGCGGGUCUGGGGAAUGGCGCCUUCGCCUCGGGUAGAGGCCGGAGACGGUUAYAGGGGGCAGUGGCAUCUUCCCCUCAGGCGGAGACCGGGAGAGGGUUCAGGUGGGGAAUAAUGCCUUCCUCUCAGGCAGAGAUCGGAAGAGGGGUACGAGAGGGAAUGGCACCUUUGCCUCAGGAGGAUAUUGCACAUAUCCAUGAAGUAACUAGCUGAUACAGGCCCUGCACAGAUGCUUAGAAAAACGCUAAGGAGGACACAUUUUAGUGGAAGAGGACUAAGAACACCAAGCCUGAACAGCUCCUUACUMCUGAGGUUGGUGCCAUUACACCUCCUGGGCCAAGCUGGAUGAGGUGAUGUGSAAGGACAGAGUCCUGCUCCCAGGUACUGAGAACUCAAGGUUUCCCACAAGGAGAUUAAGAGGAAGGAUGGAUGUCUCUCCAGCUGAGCAGGAGGGUCUGGGCAAUCCURUCUCUUCCCAAAGUGAUGCCUUCCUUCAGCUGCAGCAGCUUUGCCUGAUGGCCUCUGAACAAGCCCAUGGAGAUGAACAAGACCCUGCUGACUGCUGAGCAUCUCCACGUGGAUUUGGAAGGAAAGAUCCAGUGUCCUGGGUCAAGUUAAUGAGAUCUCAUCCUGCCUGAGUGCUGCCAAUGGGAAAAAAAUGGGCUGAAGUACUCCUUGCUAGGAUUUAUUCUGAUGUGCAUUUCAUUGCUGGGAAGGCUGACCUUAAUAAUUCCUGGGUUCAAAACAYAGAGUAAAUUCUAUUUAUGUCAGAAUGUGCCAUUCCUCCCAAGGCUGUGUAUUUUUGCAAUCCAAUUAAAUA